UGCAUGUCAGUAACUCUAUCUGAUCUGCACAUCCAUAUUUGGUGCAUGUAAUUGUAUAGUAUUUUGGGUUACUGAUCGUUGAUUUAUGGUGAAAUUUUAAAUUAUGUAGGCUAAUGAACCCAAGGUGUUCGGUGAUAUGCCUGAGACAACUAAAUUAUUUGGGUGAAUUUGGUAUAGUAUAAGCAAAAUUCAAAAGUUAAUUAAGAAGACGAGGAACCAAAAUACUUACGUUGGCUACCCUUUGUUUUCCUCGGUAUGUGUUUCUUUCGCGUGGUUGCGAUACAACUUGUGAAGAAUUCUUGUGUUUUUUUGUUUUUAGUUUAUUUUCCUUGUGUCAUCUUUGAUUUAUAGCAUUACUGAGGUAACAACAUGUUGGUUUCAAGGGUGCUAGCAAAAUUGUUGCUUGUUCUCCGUCUGCCGAAGUUGGUUAGUCCUUUUGACAAUUUUACGCUCUCUCCAUCUGUGAUUUUCUUAUUGAUGAGUUCGUGUCAGUGUUUUCCAUUCUGUAAUUUCAUUAUUCUUUGUUUUUAUCUCUUUACCGUAUUAAUUCUUAACUGAUCUUGAUCAUUUUAAACUCGAUUUCUUUCAUCUACAUUGCUUGAUUUGGGUAAGUUGUACUGGGUUUUAGUUAUUCUUGUUAGUGUGUUAGUAAUAUUUAUUUUCCAAUGUUAAUCAGUUAGCAUUAUAUAUAAACAGAAUGGAAGAAAUUGUAUGGAAUCAGAGGAGAAUUUAGAGCACCAGUGCAAAUACUGGCCCUAAUCGAGAAAGAAGAACUAAGAAAAGCGGGCAACCAAAAAACAUGAAGGGUGGCCUUCUUUCCUUGCUAUCCAUAGGGGAAUCAAGACAAAUGUUAUGACAUCAGAUUACUACCAUUUUGCCCUUUAUGUACCAUGAAAAUAAGCUUGAUGACAAUUCUGAAACUCUGGUAAUGCACAAACAACAAUGAGCUGCCUCUUAAUGAAUAAGUACUCCAACUCAAAGCCAUUUUCAUAUGAGAAUUCCAAUUUUUAAAGAUAUUUCAUCUUCUGUGAACAGAAGAAAUUACUAUAUCGUACAAAUUCUUCUAUCACCUUGACCAUGAGGGAAUUGUGGAACUACUAAACAUUUUGUAAGGUCUCCGCCAAUAGUUGUUCACUGUCUAGCAAUACUGGAAAUGGUUUUAGUUAAUUACUUUUUUGAGCUUCUGAAGUUAUGAAUGGUAUAUAUUACUUACGAGAUCGUUUCUUUCAGGGGAAAUGUGAUAUAGAUGCAGCUUUUCAAUAGUAAUAUGCCUUAUUUUGUCGAGGGAAAUAUACAGGAAGUCUGAUUCUCCUAGCCUAAUAGAUUAAUAUAAUUUGGCGAAAUCUUCUUCUCCUCAACUUGUGCAACAACCCCUGUCUCAACUAGAAUAUAUUGAUGUAAGCAAAGAAUUGGAAGGUGGAAAAAGUAAGAAGCAGAACGGUCAAAGAAUGAAUCACAUCAAAUCUUGGUUGUUUACUUCACGACGGCUAGAUUACAAUAAGCAACAUCAGCUAUAGUGCUCAAGACGUGAAAUUCCUUUCUGGUUAUGUGCUGUUUCAGCCUUUCAGUUGAACAACUGGGGACAAAAUAAUUCCUCAUGUACUGUCAUGGUUUACUGGUGAGGCUGCGGAAGAUGAUGAAUCUGAAGAUAUGGAAGAUGUUAUUAAAAAAGAUGGAGAUGGAGAUGAGGAUGAGAAGAAGUGACAGAAAGGUUGUACUAGCUUGGGGAAAAAAGUGAGGU